rnacentral:lncRNA from 1 species
UUUUUUUUUUUUUUUUUGAGACAGGGUCUGUCACGGGCUGGAGUGCAGUGAUGUGAUCAUAGCUCUUGGCAGCUUCGACCUCUCUGGCUCAAGCGAUCCUCCCACCUCAGCCUCCUGAGUAGCUGGGACUACAGGUGCAACCCACCACGCCCAGCUGAUUUUUUUUUUUUUUUUUGGUAGAGAUGGGGGUCUCACUAUGUUGCCCAGGCUGGUCUCAACUCCUGGGCUCAAGCAAUUUUCCCAACUCAGCCUCAUGAGUAGCUGGGACUACUCAUGAGGUGCGCCUCUACACCUAGCUAAUUUUUGUAUUUUUGUUGUUAUAGAUACAGGUUUCCACCAUGUUGUCCAUGUUGUCCAGGCUGGUCUUGAACUCCUGAGCUCAAGUGAUUCACCGUCCUCAGCUUCCCAGAGUGCUCAGAUUAUAGGCGUGAGCCACUGUGCCUGGCCAGAAAUUCAAUUCUGAUACAAGCUACAGUGUAGAUGAAUCUGGAAAACAUUAUGCUAAGUGAAAUAAGCUAGGCACAAAAGGAAAAGUAGUGUAUGAUUCCACUUACAUGAUGUAUCUAGAAUAGGCAGAUUGGUGGAGACAGAAAGCAGAUUUAGAAGUUACCAGGGGCUUGUGGGAGAAGAGAUGAGGGAGUGAUUGCUUAAUGGGUACAGUUUCUGUUUGGGGUAAUGAAAAAGUUACAGAAAUAGAUAGUGGUGAUGGUUGCACAACAUUGUGAAUAUACUUAAUGCCAUUGAAUUGUAAACUUAAAAAUGGCUAAAAUGGCAUAUUUUAUGUUUUAUAUAGUUUACUACAACAGGGGGAAAAAAGUGAAUGGAAGCCCUGAGGUAGGAAUUACUGAAUGUGAGGGCCACUGUGAGUUCUGGCUGGGCCGCUUCCUUAGGGAAUCCUGGAUUCAGAACCUUUAGACUGAGAAGCCCCAGUGAAGGCUCUUUCAGUGACUUGCCUGAAGCACACAGACCUGUGUACUGGGGUUUUGAGAGGCAGUGAGAGGAAGAGGCUGGGAGGAGAAAGGGCUCAACAUUUACAACAAGUUUCUACUGAAUCUGCUGUUCUCAGCAUGACUAACACCUUCACCCAAGCCUGGUGUUCCCUGACCCAGUGGCCUCUGCCUUAUUUGUUCCAGAAAAUACACUUCCAGGCUGCCUCUAGGGAGAGGGAGAGGAGCAGUGACCCGGUUGUGCAGAGGGGAAAGGCACCUUGAGGUCAAAGUGUUUCCGGGGUGAAUUUCCAACUGUCAGAGGUUCUUAAACCAGAGCAACUCCAUCUUGAAUAGGAGCUGGGUAAAAUGAGGCUGAGACCUACCAGGCUGCUUUUCCAGACGUUUAAGGCAUUCUAAGUCGCAGGAUGAGAGAGGAGGUCGGCACAAAAUACAGGUCAUAAAGACCUUACUCAUAAAACAGGCUGUAGUAAAGAAGCUGGUCAAAAUCCACCAAAACCAAGAUGGCCACAAGAGUGACUUCUGGUUGUCCUCACUGCUACACUCCCACCAGCACCAUGACGGUUUACAAAUGCCAUGGCAACGUGAGGAAGUUACCCUGUAUGGUCUAAAAAGGGGAGGCAUGAAUAAUCCACCCCUUCUUUAGCAUAUCAUCAAGAAAUAACCACCAAAAUGGGCAACCAGCAGCCCUUGGGGCUGCUCUCUAUGGAGUAGCCAUUCUUCUGUUCCUUUACUUUCUUAAUAAACUUGCUUUUGCUUUGCACUGUGGAGUCGCCCUGAAUUCUUUCUUGCAAAAGAUUAAAAAACCCUCUCUUGGGGUCUGGAUCUGGACCCUUUUCCCGUAACACAACCACUCCUUUUAUUUGUAGACCUUUCUCCAUCUUCACUUCCAGAAGUUUCUGGUUCUUACAAUGUUCAGAUCUUUGGGAAUCCUAAAGUCAAAAAAUAGGCUGCUUCUCAGCUGUACCCACUGCAGUUUAGGGAUCAGAUUUUGUGGAUUUAUAUCGUGUUUUUAAAAAAUCAAUUUGUUGUUUUAAAGAGACCUAAUUUCUUUAACCCAGACUUAUUUAUGACCACAUUAAGUUUUCAAAAAAAAUUCAACUCUCUUUUAAUAGCUGCUUUUGGACUUAAUUGCAUUAUGGCCAAAAAUGUGAUCUGCCUAUAGCGUUUCUCACAUUUUAGGAAACUUCUUUUGUGAUCUACCGCAUGUUCAACUUUUGUAAAUGUUCUCUUGUGUACUUGACUCUUUGAAGUAGGCAGAAUGGGAUUCUUAUUAUCCCUGUAUUUUAGGCAGCUAAUCAGGAGUCCAGAGAAGGUUCAAGACUUGUCCAAAGUCCCACAGUAAGGCUGGACCAGAACAGAGGAAUGGGGAAGAAAGUAUCAGAGCAUGAUGUGAAGCACACAGACUCCAGUCCCAUUGCCUAGGCUAUGGCAUGUGCCUGUCAACUGACAGCUGGAGAUCAUGUUAGUUCCUACUUGCUACCAUUGUUUGGAGGGCUUCCUAUGUGGCGUAAACACUCAGAAUCUGUUAUUAUUAUUCCUUUUUACUCUUCAUCCAGGUUUCACAAUGCCUCUUGUAUAGAGGAGUCAUUCCAAUAAAGAUGACGUCAUUAGAAACUUUUGCAACUACUCUUCAACCCUACCAUUUCUAUUAUAUCCUGGCCACUGUGCAUAAGAGAGAUUAUGGCUACAAAUACCACAGUCUAAGCAUAGAAAAGCUUCCUGGAAGGAAUCCAUAGAAAGGGCACACAAGUCAAUUCAGCAAACUCUGUAUUGAGGGCCUACCAUGUGGCUAGUGUACCAUUCUUAUCAGAGUUAUUUUCUGUCUUUUGGGGUUCAUUUAUGCCUUAAAAAAUGUAAAUGCUCACCAAAACUUUUGUGUAGUAAAAACAACAAAAAUGCUUACAGAAAAGGUUAAAGGUAGCUGGGAAAGUGGGGGCAGUGGUGACGGGAGGUAGCCAUUCAUUUUAUGGCAGAGUUUUCUAAAUAAAAGGAAUUAUCUGGGCUGCCCGGACUGUUGGAUGCUAAUCCCUACAAUAAUUACCCACAAAGCUUUCAGAGCCACAGAAUCCACCAGCUGGGAGGGAGUGCGGCCAGUGGUGGAUGUCCAUUGAGCUGUUUGUGUUGAAGCCGAGUUCUCUCUUUCUCUUUUGUGGACACAAACAGCUGACAGUCUUAAAAUAAAGGCACUUUGCCCGCCUCUGAUCUGGAUGCCUGGAAAUAGGCCAGCCCCCCCAUCUCCCUUGUUGCAGACCCUGUGUUCCACAUCUGUCUCCAUUAAACCAGUUUUUACAUCUGUUCUUUACUUUGAAUCUUCCCAACUUCUGGGACAAAAUGAAAGCAUUGUUGAUGAUUUAUUUCUUUACUCUCACCACUAUUGCGUGGAAUGUAAUAUGAAAGGACAUUUAAAAACACUUUUUAUUUUGGAAUAAUAUUAGACUUUGAGAAAAGUUGCAAAACAGCACAAAGCAGCUGGGUGCAGUAGCUCAUGCCUGUAAUCCCAGCACUUUAGGAGGCCGAGCUGGGUGGAUCACCUGAGGUCAGGAGUGCAAGACUAGCCUGGCCAACAUGGUGAAACCCCAUCUCUACAAAAAAUACAAAAAUGAGCCGGGCAUGGUGGCAUGUACCUUUAAUCCCAGCUACUUGGGAGGCUGAGGCA